AAAUAAACGAAGAGCACAUAUUAAAAAAUUUUAAUAGUAAAAUAAGUUGUUAAAUAAAUAGUAAUUUAUCUUUUUAAUAACGAAAGAUAUUAAUAAUUUAAAAAAAAUUGAUUUAUAAAACUGCUUUCUAUUAUUAACAAGUGAAAUGGUUUUCUUUGUUUUCCCUUAUUUUCCAUGAAAAAUGAAAGCUAAAACUUCCUUAGAAAAUGAAAAAUAAAAAGAACAAAAACCAGUUUUCCACAGAUAAAUAGGCCCUUAAAAUUCACAAAAAUGCAUAAUUCCCAAUACAUAUGUUACAUAAAGUUUUAAUAUUGACAUUUUUAUUUAUCAAUGAUAAACUAAAUCCGUUGAGAAGUAAGUACCAUAAUAAAUAAAUGAUAGCUUUUGACAAGCAAGCAGUACUUACAUAAUUGAUAACGUUACUUGGGGAGAAGGAAGGAAAAACUGAAAAGAAAACCCCAAAUUUCAGAGGAACAAAAACAGAUUCAAGUAAAAGCAAUCUCUGAUACCCAACAUAAGCAAUUAUAGCUACCAGGACCAUUGCAAUAGUAGCAAACACCAGAACAACAAAACGUGCCCAUUUCACCAAAGCCAAAUAACCAAUCACAACAUCUAGUCCUACCAUAACACUCCACAAAUUGGCGAAUUAGAAAGGCACCCCUCUUCAAACGAGCUCUUAUUUAGUAUCAAAAUCACCAAAAUGAAUUGGAGCAAUUAGAAUUAUGGGAAAAAAAAAGAGACCCAAAUCACCCAAAUCAAUCACAGUAAAAAAAAAAUAAAAUAAAAUUUCUUGAAGUUUCAUAAACAUGGCAAAAAGAAAUACCCAGAAACUAAAAAGCUCCAAUUUCCAAUAUAAACAAGAAAACCCACCAAGAGAACUGAAUAAUUGGCUAGUAAUAAAGCACCAUAACACGAAUAGAUCUACUCCAUUGAAUUCAAACUAAUCAUUACGAACACAGAAAGUUCAGGAAAAUCUUAAAUCACUAAC
rnacentral:misc_RNA from 1 species